rnacentral:lncRNA from 1 species
GUGCAUGCAUGCAGGAGGGAGUCUGGGGGAGCGGUGGGGAGAUCCUGGGGGCUGGGGUCCACUGCUUUAGAUCAUGUAUUUUUCCAAGCUAAACCAAAUGAAAAUAUCUGGGGAAGAUAUAUAUUGGGAAUGAAUCUUAAUUGAUUAGGUAAAUAGUGAGAUAUCAUAUUUGGAAGAGACAGCCGCCUAGAAAUAAAUAAUCACAGGACUCAAAUGUUCAUUCUUCCUAUAGUUUAAUAUUUUGUUCACUUUUCAUCUUGUAGGAUAAAUUAGAGUACCAAUAUUGUGAUAUUAGUUUUGAUCUCUGCCAGAAUUGUAAUGUAGGAGUUCUAAUCCAGCCUGGUUUGUCAGAGUACCAAUAUUGUGAUAUUAGUUUUGAUCUCUGCCAGAAUUGUAAUGUAGGAGUUCUAAUCCAGCCUGGUUUGUCAGGAAUAAAUCCUAGCCAGGCCUCCUUUGUUUCUUGUCAACAUUAAAAAAAACUAUGCAAAUGCAGAAGUAGGUGACACCUUUAUUGGGCCACUAAAAACAUCAAGCAAACAACAGACAGCAAUCUUUCUAUGAGAAUCCAUCUUCCUCAGGCUGUGUGCCACCUCUGUGUACAUAGUUCAGGAAAUUAGAUACUUUUAUUACAAAUGUAUCAUAAAACUAAACUCCCUGAAGUCCCUAAUGUCUGUUAAGCUAUGAUUUGGUGCGGAGGGGGUUAUACUGUUUUUGUGUAAUGUUAACUAUUCACCUGCAAUUUAUUUUGCUUUUUAGUUUAAGGCUACUUGGAAAAAAAUUGUUUAUCUUAUUUUACUCAGAUUUUACAGUGCCCCCCACUCCACCUGUCACAACAACCCAUGUGACUACAACACCAGAACCUACAACAAAUGGAGAAAGAAGAGAAUGUGGCGGAAAGCUCACGCUUCCCAAUGGACAUAUCUCUGGACCAAAUUAUUUUGGGAGCAAUACCAUGGUAGAGUGUAUCUGGAAAAUUGAAGUGAGUCCCUUGAAUUACAUAGUUCUUCGGAUUUCUUACAUUAGUCUUGACUGCAGCAAAGAAUAUAUUCAGAUUUUUGAUGGAAGCCUGGAUUCCCCUUUUGUGCUUGGAA